AGUCCUUCCCACAGAGAGCGGUUUGAUAUGUCACUGAAACCAGCAUCCAGGUGGUAUUGCUCCAUAUGCCUGAGACCCUAACAAAAGCCUAAUUACAACUCAUAUGCCUGGAGCCAGGACAUGUGCAGGAUGGUGAUGUAACUUUCCUCUCUGGAAUGGGUCCUGCACAAAGGAAUGAUAGUAACAUAUUGCAAAGCCAGACACACAGCCAUGAUGGUCCAAGUUAUAUUGGGAUUCAGCCAAUAGAAGAUAUUUUGCCUGUCAUCCCUAAGCUUAGGACAAUAGGGUCCUGCCCACAAGAAAGAUUGUGACAUCUCACUGGACAAGCACCCACCCAGACUCUGCCAAGAGAGGGGAUUAUUACAUAUUGCAGAGCCCAGCACCUAGGUGGAGUGACUCUCAUCUUUUUCUUCUACCCCGUAUAUAGCCAGCUUGGUGACCUACUAUUUGAGUCUAUACCCAGGCCCAGACCACAGAUGAAAUUGUGCAAUAUGUGGAACAAACACCUAAACAAUAUAUAACACCUUCCUUGGCUCUGUCUACAAAGGGCACUUUUAUAUAUCACUGGGACCAUCAACCAGGUGAUGUUGUGCCAUAUAACUGAGACCGUAUCAAAAGCCUAAUAACAAGACGUAUGUCUGGAGCCCCGAUAUGCACAGGAUGGUGAUAUAACCCUCUUCUCUGGAAUGGGCCCCACACAAAGGAAGGAUAGUGACAUAUUGCAAGCCCAGGCACACAGGCCCAGAGCACAGUUGAAAUUGUGACAUAUGUACACCAAGCAACCAAGCAAUGUAUAACACCUCAUUUGGCAAUGGAAUCGAGGGCACUUUUACAUAUCACUGAGACCAGCGCCCAGCUGAUGUGAAAUAUUGGCCUGAACCCUGCCUACAAAAGCAUUGUGGCUUUUAUCUAGCUCCAUUACAUAAGUGAUGUGACUUCCUUCUACUGCCUUGGCCCUGCACUUAUGGUGAAUCGUGACACAAAAUUGGGUAGAGCAACCAGCCUGGGCCCUGACCAGCACAGAGAUUGAGGCAUAUUGCUGAACCCAGGACCAAGAUGAAGUCACUCUCCUGCCUUGAUCCUGCACACAGGGACCCUUGUGACAUAUAUACAGGCCAAUUGCCUAGGUGAUGUUGUGCAAUAUACCUGAGACCAGAUCAAUGGCCUAAUAAUGACUCUUUUACCUAGAGCCAGGACAUGUGCAGGAUGGUAACUCUCAUCCCUGAACCUUUCCACAGGUGUUAUUGUCACAUAUACCUUUUCCAGCUCCAAAGUGAUUUAAUAAUCCAGCCUAGUUAUAGCCCACAGAUAAUAUUUGGACAUAUACCUGAGUCAAGAACCUUGGUGAUUUGACUCUCAUGUCUUAACAGUGUCCUCAGAAGGGAUCAUAACAUAUCUCUGGACCCAUCAUCUAGGUUAUGUGACUCUCUUCUCCUGCCUGAACCCUGCUUCCAGUGAAGAGUGUUGCAUUUCUAAGCACUGCAUCCAAAUGACAUGAGUUUCUUGCCUGGGCCGUUUCAACAGAAGGCAUUGUGACAUAUCUCUAGGUCUAUCAUUUAGGUGAUAUGACUCUCCUCUCCUGCCUGGACACUCUCCACAAGGGGCAUUAUGCCAUAGAGCUAGAGCUAGCAACCAAGUUUUGUGAAUUUUCUGUUAGGGCCUUGCCUACAAAGAGAAUUUUGGAAUAUUUCUGGCUUAGAAUUUAAGUAAUGUGGUUGUUCUGCCUGUUCAGUAACCACAGAGGAGAAGGUGAAAUAUAUCUAGGCACCGCAAACAGGCAUGAUAAUGAGUCUUGUAUGUGGACCCAGCAAAUAGGAGAAAUUUUGACUCUUAUAACUAGGUUUAGGAACAUGAGUGAUGUCCAGGAUCUCCUUCUGGUAAGAAGGUCACAGAAGAUUGCAACACUCACAAUUAUUUUGUAACACCUUUGGGUUGUAUAGGGAGUGUCGUAACAGGGCCAAACACACAGAGGAAAUUGUGACAGUCAUAUGCACACCUACCUGACAGUAAAGACUUUCACAAUCACAAAUGGAUGAAGGCAACUGUCCUACAUGAAAACAGGACAUGUGUGGUAUUGUACAUCUAAAACCUAGAAUUUUAUUCCAUUGUGACUGUGAUAUAAAUCAAUGCCAAGCACCUGCGUGAUUUC
rnacentral:lncRNA from 10 species